rnacentral:rRNA from 1 species
UACAGAGGUGGCAAGCGUUGUUCGGAAUUACUGGGCGUAAAGGGCGCGUGAGGUGGCCUUCUUAGUCAGACGUGAAAUCCCCAGGCUUAACCUGGGAACUGCGUCUGAUACUGGAAGGCUCGAGUUCGGGAGAGGAAUGUGGAAUUCCAGGUGUAGCGGUGAAAUGCGUAGAUAUCUGGAGGAACACCGGUGGCGAAGGCGGCAUUCUGGACCGAAACUGACGCUGAGGCGCGAAAGCCAGGGAGCA